rnacentral:rRNA from 1 species
GACGAACGCUGGCGGCGUGCUUAACACAUGCAAGUCGAACGGAAAGGCCCUGCUUUUGUGGGGUGCUCGAGUGGCGAACGGGUGAGUAACACGUGAGUAACCUGCCCUUGACUUUGGGAUAACUUCAGGAAACUGGGGCUAAUACCGGAUAGGAGCUCCUGCUGCAUGGUGGGGGUUGGAAAGUUUCGGCGGUUGGGGAUGGACUCGCGGCUUAUCAGCUUGUUGGUGGGGUAGUGGCUUACCAAGGCUUUGACGGGUAGCCGGCCUGAGAGGGUGACCGGCCACAUUGGGACUGAGAUACGGCCCAGACCCCUACGGGAGGCAGCAGUGGGGAAUAUUGCACAAUGGGCGGAAGCCUGAUGCAGCAACGCCGCGUGCGGGAUGACGGCCUUCGGGUUGUAAACCGCUUUCGCCUGUGACGAAGCGUGAGUGAUGGUAAUGGGUAAAGAAGCACCGGCUAACUACGUG